UACGAAGGGUGCUAGCGUUGUUCGGAAUCACUGGGCGUAAAGCGUACGUAGGCUGUUUAGUAAGUCGAUUGUGAAAUCCCAGGGCUUAACCCUGUGAACUGCAACCGAAACUGCUUUGCUAGAAUAUGGUGGGGGAUAGUGGAAUUCCUAGUGUAGGGGUGAAAUCCGUAGAUAUUAGGAGGAAUACCGGUGGCGAAAGCGACUAUCUACGCCAUUAUUGACGCUGAGGUACGAAAGCGUGGGGAGCAAACAGG
rnacentral:rRNA from 1 species